AUAUAUAAUAUAUAAGCCGCCAAGAGCCAAUUCCAUCUUGUGGAUCACUAAACCAGUAUUUUUGGGGUUUGAAUCUCACGUUCUCCAUUAAAGAAUAAGGACAUGCAAGUAAGCAAAAACAAGUUCCAUAUAAGCAGAACCAUAUUCCGGAGGACUGCAACUUUCAAAAUGUAAUAUAUAGCGGAAUCAUCUGUUUAUAUACAGAAAAGUAGGGUUCAAGCCUUUCGACUUCAG